rnacentral:rRNA from 1 species
GUGGGGAAUAUUGGACAAUGGGCGAAAGCCUGAUCCAGCCAUGCCGCGUGUGUGAAGAAGGUCUUCGGAUUGUAAAGCACUUUAAGUUGGGAGGAAGGGCAGUAAGUUAAUACCUUGCUGUUUUGACGUUACCGACAGAAUAAGCACCGGCUAACUUCGUGCCAGCAGCCGCGGUAAUACGAAGGGUGCAAGCGUUAAUCGGAAUUACUGGGCGUAAAGCGCGCGUAGGUGGUUUUGUAAGUUGGAGGUGAAAUCCCCGGGCUCAACCUGGGAACUGCCUCCAAAACUGCAUGACUAGAGUACGGUAGAGGGUAGUGGAAUUUCCUGUGUAGCGGUGAAAUGCGUAGAUAUAGGAAGGAACACCAGUGGCGAAGGCGACUACCUGGACUGAUACUGACACUGAGGUGCGAAAGCGUGGGGAGCAAACAGGACUAGAUACCCUGGUAGUCC